UACAGAGGUCUCAAGCGUUGUUCGGAUUCAUUGGGCGUAAAGGGUGCGUAGGCGGCGCGGUAAGUCGGAUGUGAAAUCUCGGGGCUUAACUCCGAAACUGCAUUCGAUACUACCGUGCUUGAGGACUGGAGAGGAGACUGGAAUUUACGGUGUAGCGGUGAAAUGCGUAGAUAUCGUAAGGAAGACCAGUGGCGAAGGCGGGUCUCUGGUCAGUUCCUGACGCUGAGGCACGAAGGCCAGGGGAGCAAACGGG
rnacentral:rRNA from 1 species